AAACUUUCAACAACGGAUCUCUUGGCUCUCGCAUCGAUGAAGAACGCAGCGAAAUGCGAUAAGUAAUGUGAAUUGCAGAAUUCAGUGAAUCAUCGAAUCUUUGAACGCACAUUGCGUCCUUUGGCAUUCCUCAGGGCAUGCCUGUUCGAGCGUCACUA
rnacentral:rRNA from 2 species